rnacentral:rRNA from 1 species
GACGGAGGAGGCAAGCGUUGUCCGGAAUUACUGGGCGUAAAGCGCUCGUAGGCGGUCGUCUACGGCGGUGGUGAAAGCUCCCGGCUCAACUGGGAGAGGCCCGCCGCAACGGGACGACUCGAGGGUGGUAGAGGCAGAUGGAAUUCCUGGUGUAGCGGUGAAAUGCGUAGAGAUCAGGAGGAACACCCGUGGCGAAGGCGGUCUGCUGGGCCAUUCCUGACGCUGAGGAGCGAAAGCUAGGGGAGCGAACGGG